AUUUGAAAGCCUUUUUGGCAUUGUAUUCUGAAGUCAGUUUCCUGAGUAUCGAUGUUUAAGUCUCCUGGAAAGGAGCGCCAUAGAGGGUGACAGCCCCGUACGACAUCUCACUCAUUGUAGGAUUCUGACGUGGAGUCGAGUUGUUUGGGAAUGCAGCUCAAAAGGGUGGUAUGCUCCAUCUAAAGCUAAAUAUCUGUGAGAGACCGAUAGCGAACAAGUACUGUGAAGGAAAGAUGAAAAGAACUUUGAAAAGAGAGUGAAAUAGUACGUGAAAUUGUUGAAAUGGAAGGAUAGGCCGCUAACCAUGUAGAGCCGUGUUUGAGGGGAGGACAAAAGCUGAAGAAUGUGGCUCUUCGGAGUGUU
rnacentral:rRNA from 1 species